rnacentral:rRNA from 1 species
AGGAGCACUUUCCAGUACUCCUACUGUGUUACGACUUGUCUCAUUUUUCAACGAGAAUGACGGGCGAUUUGUGCACGAAAAUUUUUAUGUUUCAAAACAUAUUUCUUUAGUAAUUACUGUUAAGUCCAUCUUCCUUUUAUUAUUACAUUUCCAUUCCGAAAUAAUUUAUUAUUGUAACUCACCUUACAGUCCUUUAUAUAGGCUGCACCAUGACCUGUCUUACUGAUUAUAUCAUUUCGGGCCCUCCUUAAGAGGGCCCAAGACGGCGGUAUACAAACUUUAAAUAAAGGUGAUUUUUUUUGAGGGUUGUCAAUUACCUGGUAAGUUCCCCUAAACUUUAUUUCCGCCGCCAUGUUCUUUAAGUUUUAGCUUUUUAGUAAGUUACUUUUAAGCCUUAGUGCUUAGAUAUUUUAGUUUUCGCUCCUUAUAGUAGGGUAUCUAAUCCUAGUUUAAUACCGGAGUUUCAGGAAUAAGUCUUAAAGAGGUGAAUUAAAAAAUUACUAUUUCACUAGUUAAUUUAUUUUUCUUAAGACCACCUCUAUCUAAAAAUCUCAGCUGUUUUAUAGGUAUGACCGCGACUGCUGGCACCUAAUUGGUCAAAACAUAAAAACUAGAAUUAAAUUACUAUUUCUAGUAUUGUUUAAUAUUUCUUGCUGGGUUAAUAUAGUUCGAAAACCUACCAUGCGCAGUUUCAUUUUACUGAGAGUGUAUCAGAACAAAGU